UACGUAGGUGGCAAGCGUUGUCCGGAUUUACUGGGCGUAAAGAGCGCGCAGGCGGUCGUUCAAGUCGCGUGUGAAAGCCCCCGGCUCAACUGGGGAGGGUCACGCGAUACUGAUCGACUCGAAGGCAGGAGAGGGAAGUGGAAUUCCCGGUGUAGUGGUGAAAUGCGUAGAUAUCGGGAGGAACACCAGUGGCGAAGGCGGCUCACUGGACCGGUACUGGACGCUGAGGCGCGAAAGCGUGGGGGAGCAAACAGG
rnacentral:rRNA from 1 species